rnacentral:rRNA from 1 species
UACAGAGGUCUCGAGCGUUAGGCGGAAUCACUGGGCGUAAAGCGCACGUAGGCGGAUUGUUAAGUCAGGGGUGAAAUCCUGGAGCUCAACUCCAGAACUGCCUUUGAUACUGGCGAUCUUGAGUCCGGGAGAGGUGAGUGGAACUGCGAGUGUAGAGGUGAAAUUCGUAGAUAUUCGCAAGAACACCAGUGGCGAAGGCGGCUCACUGGCCCGAUACUGACGCUGAGGCACGAAAGCGUGGGGAGCAAACAGG